rnacentral:rRNA from 1 species
CAGAGGGUGCGAGCGUUGUUCGGAAUUACUGGGCGUAAAGCGCGCGCAGGCGGUCCUUUAAGUCUACCCGUGAAAUGCCGGAGCUCAACUCCGUGCACGCCGGGGGAUACUGGGGGGACUGGAGACAUGUAGAGGCAAGCGGAAUUCCGGGUGUAGCGGUGGAAUGCGUAGAUAUCCGGAAGAACACCUGAGGCGAAGGCGGCUUGCUGGGCAUGAUCUGACGCUGAGGCGCGAAAGCGUGGGGAGCAAACAGGAUUAGAUACCCUGGUAGUCCACGCCGUAAACGAUGGGCACUAGACGCGGGUGGGAUCGACCCCUUCCGUGUCGCAGCUAACGCGAUAAGUGCCCCGCCUGGGGAGUACGGCCGCAAGGCUG